CCUACGGGUGGCAGCAGUGGGGAAUAUUGCACAAUGGGGGAAACCCUGAUGCAGCGACGCCGCGUGAAGGAUGAAGUAUUUCGGUAUGUAAACUUCUAUCAGCAGGGAAGAAAAUGACGGUACCUGACUAAGAAGCCCCGGCUAACUACGUGCCAGCAGCCGCGGUAAUACGUAGGGGGCAAGCGUUAUCCGGAUUUACUGGGUGUAAAGGGAGCGUAGACGGUAUGGCAAGUCUGAUGUGAAAACCCGGGGCUCAACCCCGGGACUGCAGUGGAAACUGCCGAACUAGAGUGUCGGAGAGGCAAGUGGAAGUGCUAGGGUAGCGGUGAAAUGGGUAGAUAUUAGGAGGAACACCGGUGGCGAAGGCGGCUUACUGGACCGUAACUGACGUUGAGGCUCGAAAGCGGGGGGAGCAAACAGGAUUAGAUACCCUAGUAGUC
rnacentral:rRNA from 1 species